rnacentral:rRNA from 1 species
GACGAACGCUGGCGGCGUGCCUAAUACAUGCAAGUUGAGCGAUGAAGCUUGGUGCUUGCACCCUUUUGAAGAGCAGCGAACGGGUGAGUAACGCGUGGGGAAUCUGCCUUUGAGCGGGGGACAACAUUUGGAAACGAAUGCUACUACCGCAUAACAACUUUAAACAUAAGUUUUAAGUUUGAAAGAUGCCAUUGCCUCACUCAAAGAUGGUCCCGCGUUGUAUUAGCUAGGUGGUGAGGUAAAGGCUCACCAAGGCGAUGAUACAUAGCCUACCUGAGUGGGCGAUUGACCAAAAUUGGAACGGAACAACGCCCCAGCCUCUUAGGGGAGGAGCAGGUGGGAAAUAUCGGCAAUGGACGAAAGUCUGGCCGAAGAACGACGGGGGAGGGAAGAAGGGUCUCGGAUCGUAAAACUCUGUUGGUAGGGAAAAAAGUGGGGGAGGGUGGAAAGCUCAUCAAGUGACGGUAACUAACGAGAAAGCGACGGCUAACUACGUG